AAAGUACUCCCUCCGUCCAAAAAUACUUGUCCUUGAAAUGGAUAAAAAUGGAUGUAUCUACAAAUAAAAUAAGUCUAGAUACAUCCACUUCUAGGACAAGUAUUUCCGGACGGAUGGAGUAGAAC
rfam:Triticum aestivum genome assembly, contig: Triticum_aestivum_CS42_TGACv1_scaffold_329845_4BS